GAAAGGGAAGACUAGGAGAGGGUUUGGGAUAAUUGAGGAGCCGCUGCCAAGACUUCAUCAAGAAUCGAGGGAAGUUGAUUUCGUGAAGAAGCUUGGCAGAAAUCUGGGAAUCGUCCAAGGACGGUAAACAAACUUUUGUGGCUCAAAUCUCGUUCUAUGUUGAGGCUAAAAUCACGAAAAAAAUACCAAGACGUAGCCCUCAACACGAUCUAGAACUUUGUCGAAGAAACCAUAUCGAUCCGAUCUUCGGAUCAAAAGAUAUGAAAAUUGGAAAACGGUGGAUUAGAAAAGGGCUACGGAUUGCAGGAGAGAGAGAAAAAAAAAGAGGCGACGGAGCGCGGCUCGGCAGGCGGCUACACGCGUCGAGUGUCGGCUAGAGCGACGCAGCUCCUGCGGAAUGAUGAAGCGUGUCACCAAUAGAACCAGGCCGAACUGUAGCGAACCGGACCGCUGGCCGAGCCGAGCCGACCCGUGACUACGUGAAGCAGUCUGUGCAUGCAGCCUGCGACUGGCGUCCUUUCCCGUGCGUUGCUGGGACCUAAUCGAGGAUAAUCAGUAUUUUUGGACACCCUACGAGCGUAAAGGCAUUAGCGAAAUGGCACGCGUCAACCAGGUAAGUCAUCACCCAAUAUUUAGGAAGAAAUGCUUGUAGGAUUCGCUUGGAUUGCAUGCAUGCUAGUAUAUUUGCCUUAGAUUAGCUUUCCAUGAAUGAGGUUAGGCAGGACGAUUGUUACGGGCGUAUUGGAGAAUUAUCUGGGUGUUGCUUAUAUGUUUUAAGCUUCCACUAUAUGUAUGCAUUGUUGGGUUUUAUGUCCUAAAACUCAUAGUUUGUAAACAAAAACAUAUUCUAUUUUCAA